GCCCACGUAGAACUGUGGCGUGAGCUCAUGCUGUUCGCCGAGCAGCACGAUCGCGAGCACGAUCGCGUAGACCGGUUCGAGGUUCGUCGCGAGCU
rnacentral:tRNA from 1 species